AGCCGAUAUUUAUAACCAACAGAAUGUUGUGCUUGUGGUUGGUGCGCAUGCUCGGUCCGUCCGAGAAGCCUAAAAACUGCGACGCGACGUUCACCUUGAACCAAGGGUUCAAGGGUUACAGCCUGCGACGGCAUCUCGGAGAUUCC
rnacentral:sRNA from 1 species